AGAGUUUGAUCCUGGCUCAGGACGAACGCUGGCGGCGUGCUUAACACAUGCAAGUCGAACGGAAAGGCCCUUCGGGGUACUCGAGUGGCGAACGGGUGAGUAACACGUGGGUGAUCUGCCCUGCACUUUGGGAUAAGCCUGGGAAACUGGGUCUAAUACCGAAUAGGACCACGCGCUUCAUGGUGUGUGGUGGAAAGCUUUUGCGGUGUGGGACGGGCCCGCGGCCUAUCAGCUUGUUGGUGGGGUAAUGGCCUACCAAGGCGACGACGGGUAGCCGGCCUGAGAGGGUGACCGGCCACACUGGGACUGAGAUACGGCCCAGACUCCUACGGGAGGCAGCAGUGGGGAAUAUUGCACAAUGGGCGCAAGCCUGAUGCAGCGACGCCGCGUGAGGGAUGACGGCCUUCGGGUUGUAAACCUCUUUCAAUAGGGACGAAGCGCAAGUGACGGUACCUAUAGAAGAAGCACCGGCCAACUACGUGCCAGCAGCCGCGGUAAUACGUAGGGUGCGAGCGUUGUCCGGAAUUACUGGGCGUAAAGAGCUCGUAGGUGGUUUGUCGCGUUGUUCGUGAAAACUCACAGCUUAACUGUGGGCGUGCGGGCGAUACGGGCAGACUAGAGUACUGCAGGGGAGACUGGAAUUCCUGGUGUAGCGGUGGAAUGCGCAGAUAUCAGGAGGAACACCGGUGGCGAAGGCGGGUCUCUGGGCAGUAACUGACGCUGAGGAGCGAAAGCGUGGGGAGCGAACAGGAUUAGAUACCCUGGUAGUCCAA
rnacentral:rRNA from 1 species